rnacentral:tRNA from 2 species
GCGGCUGUAGCUCAGUGGAUAGAGUAUUGGCCUCCGAAGCCAAGGGCGUUGCUCCCCGUAAAUAAUUUUCUGCU